CAUCACCGGGCUCUGGAGACGCGGUGUUGGUUACUUGUUCCCGGGAGUCGCGCCUCCGCGCGGGGCCGCGUCCCUCGGCAGGAAGUGGGCGUUGAGGGGCGGCCGUCGCCACGGAGAGUGCGGGUGGGGUGCGAGGGCGCGGGCCGGCGGCGUCUGUUGACGUUUGCAGCGACUGGUAGAAACGUGUUGGUCUGGGGCAGAUCCUCGGGCUGGGAGUAUUUGGAGCUGUGGGCGCAGGCCCAUAGACUCGCAGACCUUGGAGUGUUUGGGGCGGUGUUUUCCCUGAAUUCUAAAGGUCCCUGUGGGCGCGUCUACGCUGCCCCCCACCCCGCCUCCCCAUACUACGUUUCUGUUGCUCGGACUUGCGGGGGAGCCGGGGGAAGUGGAGGGAAGUCGGGGCUCUGGUUCUGGAACAGAGGCGUUAGGCGACAUCUGAAUCCCGUUCCUGUCGUUUAAAAAAAAAAAAAAAGGCAAGGUGUCUAUUUGGAGUAAAAACGGAUUUUAGUGGAGUCAUUGGUCUUCUAUUAAGUGAUCCUUCUGUGUAGGAAGAAAGCUCACGUUAGACGUUUCUUAGACUCUUCCAGUUAAAUGGGGUGUGUGUGGCUCCUUCAUUUUCCUCUCGCUCCCAUUCACAUUCAAACUUAACUCCAUCAUUUAUUUUUUUGUUUUUUAUUUAUUUGAGAGAGAGAGAGAACACGCGGGGGGUGGGGGGGGGGGGAGGAAAAGCAGCCCCCCCACCCCCCGCAGAGCAAGAAGCUGGACGCGAGACUCGAUCCCAGGACCUGAGCCGAAGGCAGACGCUCAACCAUCUGAGCCAUCCGGGCGUCCCAACCCCAUCAUUUUUGCUCACCUUCCCUGUAACUGUUCACCUUUGGCCCUGCAAUAGAACUGGUGCUAUGGAAGAACAAUUGCAAAAUGUCAAAUCUUCACUUAGUAAAAGACUGAUGAGGUUCUCCCCAUGCCUUUCUUUUCCAGGCUUUAAUGCACAAAGAAGAAAGAAGUGUAGGGGUGCCUGGGUGACUCAGUUGGCUAAGCAUCUGCCUUCAGCUCAGGUCAUGAUCCAGCCCUGGGCUUCCUUCUCAUCAGAGUCUGCUUCUCUCUUGUGUUUUCUGUGUCUCCCUCUGCUCCUCCCCAUCACUCGUUCUCUCUCUCUCUCUCUCAAAUAAAUAAAUCUUUAGAAAUAAAAAAUUUUUUUAAAAAGUAUGCAUUAGCUGUGUAUAGUGUGAACCCUGAAAGGCAGGGAUUAGGAACAUGAGCUUUGGAGUCAGCCCUGUUAUACUUUAUGUUGGCAUAAGAUGGGCAUGCAGUGAGGGUAAGACUUGCAGGAGAUAAUGCGCAUGAAGUACAUGGUAGUUCCCAGUAAAUAGCCCUAUGUUUUCUUGUACUCAUGUUUAUUUUUAUGUAUUAAAGACUACAUAUUUUAAAUGUAUAUUUUAAAAUUAAAUUAUGAUAUAUUUUAGAUACUGUUAAAGGUAUAACAAAUAAUAUAAUGAAUACCUAUGCAUCCAUCAUAUAGCUUAGCAAAUAAAAUAUCACUGAUACUAUAUGUAGUCUUUCCCAAUACAUCCAUCCUUCCUCUUCAUAAAAGUUUGCAACUAUCUGAAUUGGUGCUUUUAAUUAACAGGCAUUUUAAAAAUUGUUUUUACUACAUAUGUAUAUACACCUUAAAAUGUAGACUAUUGUGCUGCAUUUUUAAAAAUCUUUAUUUUGAAGUAAUUUCACUCAAAAGUUUAAUAGGGCAAAAAUUGUGUAUAUCCUUUACCCAGAUUCAUCAAGUAUUGACAUUUUGCCUCAUUUACUAUAUCACUUGUGUUCACUAUCUAUAUAUUCAUAUUUAUACACACACUUUUUUUCCUAAAUAAGUUGACAGUAAUUUGCAGACAUGUUUCUUUAAUACCAUAAAUACUUCAGUGUAUAUUUAUUUCCUAAGAAGAAGGACUUUCUCUUACAUAGCAGUAGUAUAUUUAUCAAAAUCAGGAAAUGUAACAUUGUAACAAGACACUAUUAUCUAAUCCUAUGGUUCUCAAACUGCACUGGAGUGCUCCACAUCCUCACAGGGUUUACCCAAGGGGAUAUCUAUGGGAUAUUUUACAUUGUAAGUUUUCAAGGCAAACAAAAUGAAAACUAUUAGCUCAAGGUCAUGUACAAUUUCAACAAUAGGUGGCACCAUAUUCCUUGGAUAUGUCACAUAUUUGGGAAGCUGGAUUUUUCAGGGGUUGUGAUGAAAAAGCAAAUACGGCACCAAAAAUCAAUGUGAAGCAGGAAACGAGGGUGCUUUUGUCCAAUCUGAUUCCAAGGUUUGAAAAAUUGUGCAAUGCCCAACAGGCGCACAAAUCCCAUUGUGGUUCAGAUGAAAUAAAAAGCUUUCAAUUUAUGUGUAUUAUUUUUUCAAAUGGCAACUAAAUUGUCAGGACAUAAAUAAUACGUUGUUUGAACCUGGAUAUUUCCUUUGACCAAGGAACACUGAAAAAAAUUGAGAUACUAAGGGCACUUUGAACAAAGAAUAUUUGGGAAACUGAUCUAGCCCACAGUUUGUAUUCAAAUUUCACCAUUUGUACAAUAAUAUCCAUCAUAGCUAUGUUCCCCUGUAACCCGGUCUGGGUCUCAUCCAGCAUCAUUUAGUUGUGAUAUAUCUUGAGUCUUCUUCUCUCUAG